GUUCACGGAGGCGAUGGCAUCAGUCUCAUCAGUCCCCUCCUCUAGGUUGCUGGCGGGAUCGUCAAUCUGAAAGAAGAGAGCAAGGACUGAGAUGCGUGCUGUUCGCAGUGGCGACGGUGCGCUCGAACCCUUCCGCCAAGGCUCUAGAGUCCCUACGGCAUGAGCCCUCCUCGCCCUGGGGUUCGGGAGCGCUUGGUCCUCUGCAUCAUCUGAAACUCUAUCGAGUAAAGGCAGCAAAACAGCUUCCCAGCAUCUCCAUGCUUGCUUAACUCUGCAGAACAAUCAAGUAUGUCUUGGGAGGCUCCACUUUGUGAAGGAAUGUCAGUGUGUAUGGAAUUAAAAUACCUAACUCAGAUGAGAAAGAGAGGCUUCAGAGAGGUCAGCUCGUCCUCUGGUUCUGCUCCACGAUCCGCCGCAUGGAAAAGGUGGUCAUCUAGAAGGAUCAUCAAAACGGUUCUGGAACUUUGUGAUGAUUCGGAAAGGGGUGGUGUUUCCUCCCCCCGGAGAAUCUUAGCCUGAGGCUAGAUAAGCUCUCGGCUGGGCUGAUUCAGAUAAGAUCCUGUGAUCAGGAGAGACCCCCUGUGAGCGCCUACCUACUCUGUGGGGACAAACAGGCUGUUCUUUUGGGAGCUGUUUUAUUUUCAACAAGAGUUAAGUAAUUGAAUGAGCAGAA